AAGCCUCUAACUGUCUGAACUGUGGAGUUGAUGGGACAUGUCCCCAACUAACUCUGUUAACUAAAAAUAAAUAAAGUCUGAUGCAAUAAUAAUAGAAGGAUCAUCCUUGAAUAAAGAGGACUCACUUCUACGUCUACUGCUACUGACUAGGACUGAACUGCUGAGGGAAUUCUAGAUCACGUGCCUAUAGACCUAUGGUGUCAAAUAAAACACCAUAGAGAAAAUGAAUUAGUACGGGAAUGUAUCGAGUAUGCAGAUGAGGUAAGGCUAUAUGCAUGAGAUCAUGCAUGAAUAGUUACAUAACUGAAUAAUCAUGAGAGUACUGAACGAGAACACAUACAGGAAUGCACAAACCAUAAUCACAACCACCACAACCCUAGAUACUGAAACUCGGAUAGCGCUUUACUGUUAUCUGAACUUACUAAUAACACUGAGCUACUGAAUCACUGAAUCAUCUGAUACUGAUAACUGAUUAACUAAAUAUACUCACAUAAAUGACUAAAUUCUGAGCUCACUGCUCUCGAAUGAUGGAAUUGGAAUCAACCUCUCUCUAAUAAAUUACUUCAAAAUAUAUUAUUAAUGAUAAGAAAAUGAUCAUGUCCGAAUCUGACAACAAGAAUACUAAAUAGAAUUUGAGACUGCGAUCAAGCCUAUCUAUCAGGAAAACUCUGGAUCUAGUAACAAGAAUAGUUAACUAAAUCUGAGACUGAGAUCAAGCCUAUCUAUUGGGAGAUCUAUGAAUCUGAUAAUAAGAAUACUCAACUGAAUCUGAGACUGAGAUCAAGCCUAUCUAUCUGGAGAUCUCUGGAUCUAAUAACAAGAAUACUCAACUGAAUCUGAGACUGAGAUCAAGUCUAUCUAUCGAGAGAUCUCUGGAUCUGAUAACAAAUAACUGUAUAUGAGACUAAUCCUAUCUAAUGUAUGGUCAUGAAUCAAUGAAACAAUCUAAGCUCCUCACUGAGAUAGAUGAUUGUACCUCACUAUUUUGAUUUUUGAAGAUUGAUACUGAAAUUGUAACUGUGGGAAGUAGUUUCUUAACUGAUAUGCCUCGACCUCCCAUAGAUGGGGUCCAACUUAUAACUUCAGCUGGAAGGGUAUUAAUACCGUGCCACGGGUAAAGACCUCUCUGGUCAAGCCUCUCUAACGAAUGACCGUCGUAGAAAGUCAGCCUAAGGCAAUAUAAUAGUCAAACCUCUCUAACGAUGACAAUCUUUACUGAUGGGGAAUCCUACAUCCUAUACUGGCUACACAGUUCUAGAGUUUAGGGAUUUCUCCUAAUGACUCGGCCACUCUCUGAUGGGAAGCUGCCACCCCUUCCCUCUCUCGGUGCUAGCUCCUACUUCCAACUAAAAUACGUUGAACUGAAUUUCUUAAUUGAACACCAACUGAUCUAAAUCUGAUACUGAUCACAUUUCUCAAAUGAUCUGACUGAGUUUAGCUGAGUUCACAAGGUUCCGUAUCUGACGGAAUACUAUUGAAUCACGGUAUCUAACUGGCGAUACAGAGUUUGAAUAGAUUACUCGAUCAGUACUGAGGCCAGAACUGAACACUUGAAUACUUCAAGAUCUGAACUGAGUAGCACACUGAGGCUAGAUUACUAGCGAUACAGGGAUUACAGAGAUUACUGAUAUUUUUUAAGUUCUUUAUCUGUCGAAGGAUAUAGAUUCCUAUAAUUCACUAAGUUCUGAGAAUCAUGGCCUUACUAGGAUUAUCGUGAAAACUGACACAGGCUCUACACAACAACUGAAUUAUUGUGUAUAAAUACCCCCAAGACUUGAUAACAUAAAAGUAAAACAUAACCAUUCUUGACUAGUCAUAACCACGGUCAUUUAUUCAUCAUCACAAUUACUAAAGCAUCUCUUCAAGAACUUAGGAAUCAUAACAUGUAUUCAAUAUCACAAUCACUAAGGCAUCACUUCAAGCAUUUUAGAAAUCAUAAGCAUCUAUUCACCACCACAAUCACUAAGGCAUCACCUCAAGCAUUUAGGAAUCAUAAAUAUCUAUUCAUCAUCAUAAUCACUAAGGCAUCAUUUCAAGCAUUUAGAAAUUAGAAACAUGUAUUCAUCAUCACAAUCACUAAGACAUCACUUCAAGAAUAUAGGAAUCAUAGACAUAUAAUAGCGUAGGGGGGAACAUGCAAUAGGAUCAUACUCCAUUCAACAAGGUCUUGCAUCAAAUACUUCGCAUAUAUAUUAGUCUUGGCAUGUAUUGGAUAGCACCUGAUUUGGGAAAACUUCAUACUAUUAUGUAACAACUAACUUGUCAAGCACUUGGCAUGUAUUAAAGGCUUAGCAUGUUUCAAAGAGCACGUAAUUGGAAAAUUUACUACUAUCAUGUAUCAACUUGUUCACUAAGGCCUUUCAAAAAACAUUAGGCAUGCAUGGGUUUACACCUAAUUGGGGAUUUAAUGCUAUGAUAUCACAAUUCAUUCACUAAGGUAUUUCAUUAAACACUAGGCAUCCAUGGGCUUGCUCACAAUUUGGGGUUUCCUAAUCAACAUUCCAUAAUGGCCCUAAUUCUUCACAUAAGCAUUUUAUCAAACAUAUGGGGGGAAUUCUUUGCUUGUUCAACCAUUUCCUCACUUAAUUAGCAUGAACACAUCAUCUAAAAAGCAACUUAAAGAGGGUUUAUCAUGAACAUCACAUACUAGGGUCAAAGCUUGAAAACCUUGUAAACAAACAUGAAUCACAACUCAAUAAUAGCUGGAAUAUCAAUUUCAACUCACAUGAAUCAUUAAAACCCAUAAACACAAGAUCUUUGAAUUUUAGAAAAAAGGUUUUUUAACUUCUUGGAUGAAAGAAACCCAAGAAUUAACAUCUACAUACCUUGGGGAAACAAUUUUCUUAAAAGGUCUUGGAGAGAUUCUUGAUUCCUCUUGAUUUCUCUACAUCUCUAUUGAUUUUUCUUGAAGAACAAAUAAGGGUUUUGAUUUUGUAAAACCCUAGUUUUGAUGUUGAAGAUGGGAAAUGAGGCUAAGAGCCUUUUAUCGGGUAUAUAUAGAGGUUGAAAAGAGUGGAAAAUGACCAAAAAGACCUUGGAAUUAAACUAAAAAAUUCCAAUUUUACAUGUUGGCGCGAUGCACCAUAAUCGCACCAAUUCACUGGAAAUUGGACAAUUGGGAAACUGUAUAAUGGUACGACGCGGUGGCAAUUGCGUUGCCACCUUGGUUGCAAACUAAAAAGGCACCGCGAUAUGGUGAAAUCGCAUUGGUGCACUGAAAAUUGACAAUUCUAAAAUUAAGCUUUAGUGCAAUGGGCCAUAAUUGAGAAGGCUCACUGGAUUUUGAUGAUUGGUAUUUUGGCUAGCUCCGCAAUGUGCUAAAGUGCCAGGUGGCACACUGUCUCACUAAAAUAGCUUUAUCUCUUUGUCCGAGUAUCGGAUUUGGGUGAAUUUGGUAUCGAUUGAAAGAUUAUUCAAUACUCUACAUGAAAAAAAGUUGAUAUUAGGGAAAUUCUACGCGGUUCAAAGUAUUUCACACUUGGGAAGACACUUCUCAAACUUUUGGGACCGAAUUUUUACUUCACUGAACACGCUCUAAGGCUUAGACUAGGAGAAAAUUUUGCGGGGUAUUACAGUUCCAUCUGGUCACCCAAAUCAGUAGGUUGCUAUUUCUAGUGCUACCAGUGGUUAGCGUCUAAAAAGAUUAUAUGCUCUUCAGUCUCGCUAAGAUCAGGAAAAUUCUCCUGACGUAGUUACUAGUAUGUUACAGGUCUUUCACUUACAUGUUUAUGCUUUACUAGAACUUGGAGCUUUUCUUUCUUUUGUAACUCCGUAUAUAGCCAUCAACUUUGGAGCUAAUCCCGAAACUCUUGCAGAGCUCUUUUCAGUGUCUACCCCAGUAGACAUUUCUAUUAUAGACAGACAUAUUUACAGGAACUGUCGAGUUAUAAUAUCUCAGAAAGUUACCUCAGUUGAUCUCGUAGAGUUAGAGAUAAUAGAUUUUGACGUUAUUCUCAGCAUGGAUUGGCUCCAUUCAUGCUAUGCCUCAGCUAAUUGUAGAAACAAAAUAGUUUAUUUUCAGUUUCCAAAUAACUAGUUAUUGAAUGGAAGGGUAGUACUAUAGCUCUUAGGAGUCAGUUGAUCUCUUACCUUAGAGCCAAAACAAUGAUAUCGAAGGGGUGUAUUACCAUCUUGUGUGAGUCAAAGAUUCUACCUCAGAAAUUUCAACCCUCGAGUCAGUUUUAGUAGUCAGGGAAUUUCUAAAUGUGUUCCCUGAAGAUCUCCCUGAAGUUUCUCCUGAAAAGGAAAUCGACUUCGGAAUAAACCUUCUUAUAGAUAAUCAACCCAUAUCUAUUCCACCAUACAUAAUAGCUCCAGCAAAACUCAGGAGUUAAAAAAAUAGUUAAAGUAUCUCCUAGACAAGGGAUUCAUUAGACCCAGUGUCUUCCCAUGGGAUGCAUCUGUUCUAUUCAUGCGUAAGAAAGAUGAUUCUCUCAGAAUGUGCAUAGACUACCAUCAUUUGAAUAAAGUCAUAGUCAAGAAUAAGUAUCCACUUUCUAUAAUCGAUGAUUUAUUUGAUCAACUUCAGAGUGCCAGCUACUUUUCAAAGAUAGACCUCAGAUCAGGAUAUUAUUAGCUUAGGGUCAGAGAAUGUGACAUUCCAAAAAUAGCUUCCCAAACUAGGUAUGGUCACUUCAAAUUUCUAGUAUUUUCCUUUGGUCUUACCAAUUCCCCAACGGCUUUUAUGGACCUGAUAAAUCAAAUGUUCAAACAGUACUUGGACAUGUUUGUCAUAGUAUUCAUUGAUGACAUUCUUGUUUACUCUCAUAGUACUUCAGACUUUUAGAGCUCAUAAGUUGUUUGCUAAAUUCAGUAAGUGUGAAUUUUGGCUAAGAUCAGUAGCUUUUCUUGGCUAUAUCAUUUCUGGUGAUGGCAUUAGAGUUGAUCCUCAAAAGACUAAAACGGUGAGAAACUGGCCUAAACCCAUCACUCUAUCAGACAUCAGGAGUUUCUUCAAUUUAACUGGCUAUUACCGUCAAUUUACUGAAGGUUUUUAUUCUAUUGCAUCCCCCAAGUCUAAAUUAACUUAGAAGAAAGUUAAGUUUCAAAGGUCAGAUUCAUGCGAGAAGAGUUUUCAGGAGUUGAAGAAUCGACUCACCUUAGCCUCAGUCUUGACUCUACUAGAUGGUUCAAAUAUUUGUUAUGUACUAUGAUGCAUCUAGGGUAGGUUUAGGUUGUGUCCUCAUACAGAGAGGUAAGGUCAUAGCCUACACCUCCAUACAGCUUAAACCCCAUGAAAAGAAUUACCCUACUCAUAAUCUUGAGUUAGCAGCUGUAGUAUUUCCCUUAAAGAUUUAGAGGCAUUACUUGUAUGGGGUGAUCACAAAAGCCUUCAGUAUGUAUUCUCUCAGAAAGAUUUGAAUAUGUGCCAGAGAAGGUUGUUAGGAUUAUUAAAGGAUUAUGACAUAAGUGUUUUGUAUCAUCUGGGCAAGGCCAAUGUAGUAGUUGAUGCUCUCAGUAGAUUAUCCAUGGGUAGUGUAGCUCAUGUUGAGGAUGGUAAGAAGCAGUUAGCUCAGGAAGUCCAUCUGCUUGCCUGACUAGGUGUCUUCUUAGUAAACUUAGCAGAGGGUAGUGUAUAGGUGCAGAAUAGCAUUUAAUCAUCUCUAGUUUUCAAGGUGAAGAAAACGCAGGAUAGAGAUCCCAAUCUAGUUAAGUUGAAAGGAGUAGUUAGAGAUCAGAAAGUAAAGGUUUUCUCUUAAGGAGGAGAUGGGAUAGUGUGUUAUGUUGUUAGGGUAGAUUGUGUGUGCCUGGUAUAGAUGACUUGAGGCAACGAAUUUUCGCAGAAGCGCAUGGUGCAAGUUACUCUAUUCAUCUAGAGACCACUAAGAUGUACUACGAUUUCUAAGAUAUCUAUUGGAGGAGUAGGGUAAAGAGAGAUAUUACAGAGUUUGUUUCUAAGUGCUCUACAUGCUAGCAAUUUAAGAUUGAGCAUCAAAAACCUAGUGGGCCCAUGCAGGAGUUUAGUAUUUCCACUUGGAAUUGGGAGAAAGUGAACAUGGAUUUUGUGACAGGUUUGCUGCGUACCCGUUAUCAGCAUGAUUCUAUUUGGGUUAUCAUAGACAGGAUGACCAAAUCAACUUAUUUCUUGCCAGUCCAUACCUCUUAUUCAGCCUAAGGACUAUGCCAAACUCUAUCUCAGAGAGUUAGUUAGGAUGCACAGUAUUUCCUUAGCUAUCAUCUCUGAUAGAGGUACCCAAUUUACCUUUCAUUUCUGGAAAGCAUUCCAAAAGGGUCUUGAUACCCAAGUCCAUCUCAGUAUCACUUUCCACCCUUAGAUAGAAGGUCAAGAAGAAAGGACCAUUCAGACUCUUGAAGAUAUGUUAAGAGGAUGCGUUGUUGAUUUCAAGGGUUGUUGGGGUAACUAUUUGCCUUUGAUUGAAUUUUCAUACAAUAAUAACUAUUAUUCUAGUAUUUGUAUGGCUCCUUUUGUGGAUCUCUAUGGUAGGAGAUGGAGAUCUCCAAUUGGUUGGUUUGAAGAAGGUGAGGCCCUGACUUGGUGUUUGAUGCCUUAGAGAAAGUCUAGUUGAUCAGAGAAAGGCUUAGGGCUUCCCAGAGCUGACAGAAAUCGUAUGCUGAUGUGAGGACAAAGAAUCUCGAGUUUGAGGUCAGUGAUUUUGUGUAUUUAAAAAUCUCUCCCAUGAAAGGAGUGAAUAAAUUUGGCAAGAAAGGGAAAUUCAGUCCCCGAUAUAUCGGUCCCUUCAGAAUUCUCAAUUGUUUCAGAAAGGUAACUUACGAGCUUGAGUUGGUUUCAGAUUUAGCCUCAUACACCCAAUGUUCCAUGUCUCAUUGUUAAAAAAGUGUAUUGGUGAUCCAGCGGUAGUUGUUCUCUUAGAAAGCAAAGAGAUUCAGAACAUUCUUUCCAUUGAGGAAGUUCCAGUUGAAAUUCUUGAUCAUCAAGUUCAUAGACUAAGGAACAAAGAAGUUAUACUAGUCAAAGUUCUUUGGUGGAAUAAGUCCGUUGAGAGAGCCACUUGGGUUGCAGAGGCAGAUAUGCGGACCAAGUACCCUCAUUUUUUCUCCGCAAAUCCAAAUUCAGUAUAAGGUACUAAUCUUCUUAGGAUUUCUCUCUAUCAUGCUCAGUUUUAGUUGUACAUCAUGUUUAUGGCAGUCGUGCAUUUACAAAUUAGUUCGGUCAUGUAAUCCAUGCAUGAGAUAUGCAUGUUCAGUGUGUCAGCUCAGUCCAAUAGUUUUUCUCAGCUUAACUAGUUUCAUUCGAGGAUAAAUGAUCCUAAGAGAGAGAUAUUGGAAUACCCCAUAUUUCCCUAGCAUAAUCUAAGUCCCAAUACAUAAGUAUUAGUUUAUAAAAUUUUUGAAACACUCAUCGUUUGUCAGUUUAGAGCCUGCCAUUGCAUAGGAAAUUUAAUUAACUUUCCAACGAUAUAAAAUUCUCCCAAAUCCAACAACCGGGUAAGAAAUGUUGAUUUUAAGUUCCAGUCGAUAAACACCAUCAUUUUGACCCUUAGCGCAUCGCGAAGUCAGUGUAAAUAGCAAUUAUCAAUUUCCAGUGUUGCUCCAUGAUAGUGGCGCAUCGCGUCAUAGGCCCAGUUCAUAAUUGCCCAAUUCCAGUGAGGCAGCUUAAUCAUAGCGCGCUGCGCUAAUGGUGAAAAUCAGAAUCAAAGGGGCACCACAAUUUCUACGCGUCAGGCCUUCAUCCCAGUUCCCAAAGACACGACGCGAUAGCACCGCCUCGCGCUAGGUGCCCAUUUCAAAAAAAUUUGACGAAAAUUAAAAGUUUUGUCCAAGGAUAGAGCAGUUCUUUCCCUUAAUUUUAAUCCGCCCAGAUGUUCUUUUAAGCCCUAAAAAUAUUUUUGAACUCAUUAUUUUAAUUAUUUUCCCCAAAUCAAAAAGCUUUCUCUCCCAAAUCAAGAACCUUAGCUCUUCAAUUUCAAGGCCAUUCCUCGAAAACUUACCCAGAACUUCAAGAAAUUCACUACCCAAGGUAUGUUAGAUGUUCAUCCAUGGAUCCCUUUCAUCCAUGGAGCCCAAGUAACCUAUUUUAAUCACCAAGUUAUAAUCUUUCAAGUUGUUAUGUUUUAAAUUAUGAUUUUAUCCAUGUAUCUCUAUGCACUAUUGAUUUUAUACCAUGUUACCAUGAAAUUAUCAUUACUAUUCAAUUCUCCAUGCGUUAAUAUUAUUAUUUAUUGAAUUAAACCAUGAUUUAGUACUAUUAUGUUGAAUUCUUGUUACUUUUGUAAGUUCUAUGGCAUUCUUUUGAUUGUUUUAAACCAUGAACUACAAGUGUUUGAUAAAAUGUCUACUAGAGUGUUUUAUUUAACAAAAGCCUUCAUGUUUUAAUCUUCAAGCUUUAGUGUCAUUUUACAACUAUUGUUUUGAGUCCUGGGGGUAUUGAAUACCCGAAAUCCAUAGUUGUUUACUUAGCCUAGUAUCAGUACUUUACAGAAUAGUCUUCAGAACAUACAUGAGCAUUAUCAGAACAGUCAGUUACCAGUCAGAUGAACUCAGAACAGUCUAGUAUUUCAGUGUCUUUAAGUUGAGAGUAGGAUUUAGCAUCGAGCGAGUAUAGGGAUGACAGUUUCCCCGUCAGAUAGAUAAAGUCGUUAGUAGCAGUCCCUAUACUCCAGAACUACGUAGCCAGCGUAGGGUAUGAGAAGUCACCCAUCAGAUUAGGCUUGACUAUCUCGCAGGGGUCACCCGUCAGUUUAGGCUUGACACCUUUAGUCCUUUGGCCAUUAUAACAGUUUAGUGGAUCCACACAGCUAUUGUUAGUACCUGUGGCACGGUAUUAAUACCCUUCCAAUUGGGGUUACGGUUAGACUCCAUUUUGCUCAAAUUGGGGAAUGUCGGCUAGAUAAUACCUCCCAUAGUCUCAGAUAUAGUCUCAGUUAUAGUCCCAACUCAGUUAUUCAGUAUUAGUGUUGUUUGACCAAAGCAUAUAGAUUUCAGUUAUUUUAGAUUAUAGAUUUUACUUAGUUCAUGUUAUAUGCUUGGUCAUGCAUCCUCAGUAUUUAUAGAUUUUCAUGCAUUUUUAGUAUCUACAGAUUCCAUGCUCUUUAUUCAGUACUCCAUGCUUUACAUGCAUAUCCAGUUAAUUAUUAGAUCUGUUCAUGAAACCAUGCAUACCAGCCUACCUCAUUUAGCAUACCAGUACAUUCAAAGUAUUGAUCGUAUAUCUUUUCUUUUACGCUAUGAUGUAUUAUAUCAUAGGUUCUGAUGCUCAAUUCCUGGCUUGUGAUUAGACUUAUCAGAUCCUUAGCAGUAGCAGUGGUGAGUCCUCAUACUUCGAGGACAGACUUACUUUAUUUCAUGUCUCAGUUAGUAGUUAGUUGGAGUUAUUUGGGGCUUGUCCCAUCAACUCAUAUUCAGUCAGUUAGUUUUAGAGGCUUUUCAGACAUUAGAGUCAGUUAUUCAGUAUUCAGAUAUUACAGUUAGUUAUUUAGUUUAUCAUUAUUUUAUUAGAUUCAGUCAGUUGUUUCUAUAGACUCAUAUUUCAGUUUUAAAUUCAGUUAUUAAAACCUUAUGGCAUGUCAGUAUUCUUCCGAAUUUAUUCAGUUAUUAAAACCUUAUGGCAUGUUAGUAUUCUUCAGCAUUUAUGAUCAUGUUAUCCAGUGCUCACAGCAGGUAUCAUCUCAUGGGUUAGCUUGUGGUCCCUUAGGACUGUAAGUACUGUGUGACGACUAUGGGGUAGUCCCGGAUCAUUAUAGUAAAGAUUUUUAAUAAAGGGCAAAAAGUUUAAAUAGUGUUUUAUUCCUUAUUAUUUGUGUAUGUUAAUUUUUCACUCUAUUUCUUGGCAAAAGAUGUGUAGAUUUUAUUUUUAGUUUUCUACUUUUCUUUUUCAGUAAAUUGAUAUAAAAAUAAAUUAGAAAUGAUCAAAUGCAUAAAUAAAAUUUAACAUGAAUUAUUACUAUAUAUAUAUAUAUAUAUAUAUAUUUCUCAUGAAUAUUGCACACUGAGCUCAUUAGUGUUGCACAUGCAAAAAAACAAAAAAAAUAAAAUAAAGUUCAACUCUUUUAAUUCAUCUUUAUUUUUCUUUUUUCCUAAACAAUUAAUUAUUUUAUAAUUACACUCCCUCCAUAUAUUUUCGCUUUAUAUUAUGUAUGCAACUCUUUUUAAAAUAGAAACCACUUGACUAUACAGUUUAUCAACAAAUAAAUCAUAAAAUUUAUACAAAAUAUUCUCAAUUUCAAGCUUACUGAGUUUGUCUAUGUCAGUUUUUAAUAUUCAUUAAACGAUUAGAGAAUAAUAAUAAUGAUGUUAUGUAUAAGUUUUACACCUCCUAUCCUUCUCACUUAGAUUUAUCAUGAAUUGACGUGAAGCUUACUUGGCAAAAGUCUUUAUUUAAACAAAGAAAACAAAAGGAAAAGAGAUAGGUUGUUAUUUUUCCGGCUACUUCAUUCAGCAGCAACAUGAUUAUUUCGUCUAAAAUUUUUGAUAAAAAAUUUUUAAUUAAAAGAAAUACACGAAAAAUUAUCAAAGGGGAGAAUUCACUGCCAAUUGUUGAUUAUGUAUAGUUCAUCUAAAAUCACUAAAACUAUUAACUAAAAGAAAUAAAGAAUCACAGAAAAUAUAAUGAUAAUGAAUGCUAGAAAACAAAUUAAAUAAAAAUUAAUCAAAACCAAAAAUAAGAAGUAAACAUAGUGCUAGAUCCUUCAAUAUUAAUUACCAUGUCGUUGUCUAUUUCUUUUCACAUUUCAAAUUCUUGUUGGUCGGCAUGCGAAUGAUUGUUGAUAAAGAGAAGAAAAAAAUAAGAUGACCUUGUCUGAAAGUUCUUUGGCUUCUUGAUACAUGUCUUAAUGAAUCUAGAACCUAGAUGCAUCUGAUAUAAUGUAAUCACCACAUUAGAAUAGACCACAUGUAAGAAUGAAAAAAGCUAUAACUAUAGGGAACUAUUCAAGAAAGCCUAGGACAGUGAAUACCAAAUGCCACCAUAUAACUCAUUUUCAAAACAUAACUAAAUUAAGGUAGAUUCAGUAGAAGUGUCUUUUCUCAGAGGAAGAUUCAAUCGAAGUAACUUUAAACAUCACAAUACGGAAGUAACUAUCUCGAUGAUUUGCCUAUAAAAAUGUCUCAAGGAAUCAGCAAAAUUAAGAAAAAAAAAAUACUAAACACAUAUAAAGAAAAGACAUAAUUACAAAAAGUACAAACGACCACUACUAAAUGGAAAAAGAAAAACAUAAGAGAUUGGUUGAGUGAAUUCUCGGAGAUCUGAUAAAAAAAUAUUCCCACUAAAAAUUUCUUCCUCUGCAAUUAUUGAAUGUACAAACGUUUAUUAUCAUGUAACUUCAACAAGAAUCUAAAGGCUAGAACAUUUAUCUCUCAUCACAAGCACACAUCAGAUGUUCAAUAAUAAGAUUUAUUAUCAAAAUUGCAUGAAAUUAAACACCUAAAGAGAAGAACAAUAAAAUUAGUUUAUUGACCAACUAUGAUCUAUUAUCGAAAUUGCAUGAAAUUGGAUACCUUUGGUUUCCUCGUUUGAAUAACCAGCAAAUCCAAUUGAAGAUGCAGAACAAUGUAGAUGAUAGAACGUUGAUGCCGUUAUCAAAUACAAUACAUACUUAUUAUGUAAUAAGGAUAUUUUUCCUCUUUUCUUUACAUAUAUUUUAGUACUCUAUUUUAUACAUUUAUUCUCCAUAUGGAAAAAACAAACAAAAAAAAAC
rnacentral:lncRNA from 1 species